rnacentral:rRNA from 1 species
GACAGAGGGUGCAAACGUUGUUCGGAAUUACUGGGCGUAAAGCGCGUGUAGGCUGCUAUGCAAGUCGGGUGUGAAAGCCCUGGGCUCAACCUAGGAAGUGCACUCGAAACUGCGGAGCUGGAGUCCUGGAGAGGAAGGCGGAAUUCUCGGUGUAGAGGUGAAAUUCGUAGAUAUCGAGAGGAACACCGGUGGCGAAGGCGGCCUUCUGGACAGUGACGGACGCUGAGACGCGAAAGCGUGGGGAGCAAACAGG